rnacentral:rRNA from 1 species
UACAGAGGUCUCAAGCGUUGUUCGGAUUCAUUGGGCGUAAAGGGUGUGUAGGUGGCGCCGUAAGUCGGGUGUGAAAUUUCGGAGCUUAACUCCGAAACUGCAUUCGAUACUGGCGUGCUUGAGGACUGGAGAGGAGACUGGAAUUCAUGGUGUAGCAGUGAAAUGCGUAGAUAUCGUAAGGAAGACCAGUGGCGAAGGCGGGUCUCUGGACAGUUCCUGACGCUGAGGCACGAAGGUCAGGGGAGCAAACGGG